GUGAAAAUGUCAUUUUUCUGAAUUUUAAAUUAAUAUUUCUGUUAUUACUAAAUUAAUCGUUAUUGGAUGUUCCGAAAGGUGUUCAACCAGAAAAAAAGCCGAAGAAAACAUGUACCGUAUGAUAGUUUCGAGUCAUGUUUGUGCGAGGAGGGCGGCUCUCCUCGGGUCAGCCCUCGCGUGGACAAUCAAGAAACGUCAGGAGUAUGCAUUAUAGAAAAUCCGCCUCAAGACCCGAUCUUGGUCUCCGACGCGUCAAUCGAGGACCUGUCUCUCUCAGGCCCCACCCGCAGUCCCCGCAGUCCCCGUAGUCCCCGCCGCGUGUGCGUGCG